CCUACGGGGUGCACCAGUGGGGAAUAUUGUACAAUGGGCGCAAGCCUGAUGCAGCCAUGCCGCGUGUGUGAAGAAGGCCUUCGGGUUGUAAAGCACUUUCAGCGGGGAGGAAGGCGGUGAGGUUAAUAACCUCAUCGAUUGACGUUACCCGCAGAAGAAGCACGGGCUAACUCCGUGCCAGCAGCCGCGGUAAUACGGAGGGUGCAAGCGUUAAUCGGAAUUACUGGGCGUAAAGCGCACGCAGGCGGUCUGUCAAGUCGGAUGUGAAAUCCCCGGGCUCAACCUGGGAAUUGCAUUCGAAACUGGCAGGCUAGAGUCUUGUAGAGGGGGGUAGAAUUCCAGGUGUAGCGGUGAAAUGCGUAGAGAUCUGGAGGAAUACCGGUGGCGAAGGCGGCCCCCUGGACAAUGACUGACGCUCAGGUGCGAAAGCGUGGGGAGCAAACAGGAUUAGAUACCCGUGUAGUC
rnacentral:rRNA from 1 species